UACAGAGGGUGCAAGCGUUAAUCGGAAUUACUGGGCGUAAAGCGUGCGUAGACGGUUACAUAAGUCAGAUGUGAAAGCCCCCGGGCUCAACCUGGGAAUUGCAUUUGAGACUGUGUAGCUAGGGUGCGGAAGAGGGAAGCGGAAUUUCCGGUGUAGCGGUGAAAUGCGUAGAUAUCGGAAGGAACACCAGUGGCGAAAGCGGCUUCCUGGUCCAGCACGACGUCAGCACGA
rnacentral:rRNA from 1 species